AAAUUCAUCUCCUCCGCUACGCCUGCUCUCUUCUUCAGGCAGCAUGGCAGGAGUGAAGAUCCCACGGUGCCUCUUACAGCACAUUCUUCAAACGUUAUCCCUUGGCAGCGAAGAUGACCCCAGCGGGCCAGUUUGCCUGAAAGAUCCCUGACUGUGAGUCACAUGGAGACUGGCUUGAGUCGGUGCCUGAAGGACUUUCAUAAAGGUUGAGAUGAAGAAACUGAAGGAAUUUGCCCUGAAGAUGAUUUUCAACGGAUAAGGGCAAAUUUGAAGCUGGUGAGAGUGGAGAGAGACCAGGAUGGAUACUGCUGUUACAGCAGCUUGAAGAUGCAGUUUGAGAGCUGGUAAGACUGAAAACUUCAGAGCCGGCUGCACAAAGACCUGCGGCCGCUGAGAUCAAAGUGAGGUCGUGGUCAAUAAGAGCUGAUUUUGAGAUGUGGUUGCUGCAUGACUCAACAAGUGGGAAUGUAACGCUGCAUCAUCCUGCUGGUGGUUUAUUUUACAGGUUCUUUUAUUCAGAAGACUGCGGCCCUCAAGCAAAUGGAACAAGCCUCAAAGUUUUAAUGAAGGACAAAAUAAAGGAGUUUGAAUCAA